CAGACACCCCACUAAAACUCAACAUAAAAGGCAAGGGCUGUGAAACAAAAACCCUUUCGGGGGCAGCCCAGCUUCCCCUUGCCGGGGGCACGAAACCUCGGAGAAUUUCACCGCUUUGAAGGAGAACACGUCCAGGGCGAGCAGGAAGGGGCAGCUUCAACAAGUGCUCUCAUACGUGAUCUACCACGAUCAACCGUUUGAAGAUGGCGGUUGCCAGGACUCCUGAGGCGAAGAAGGGACCAGAGGAAGCGGGCAGCUCCCCGCCUGCGAAGCACAGGCCUGGGCUCUGUUGUCGUGGGAAGGUGGCUUGUGGGGUCCAGCUCACCAGCAUUUCCAGACUGUGUCUGGAGCUCUGAAUCCCUUGUUUCAAGCUUUCUGCCCAAGAAGAUGGAGCUGGGUAUGCCCCACUGCCAGGCUGGGAGGGAAGCUAACGUCCACUGACUAUCCCAGCAUGUUCUCUGCACCCACCAUCUCACCUCCCCUCAAACGAGCCCUCCCGGCAGCCUGCAUUUCGCAGAUGAGGACACUGAGGCGUAGAGGGAUGAAGUCCCUUGUCCAAGCUCCCUUUCUUUGUAGCUAACAUUUCU